GAAAUGCGAUAAGUAAUGUGAAUUGCAGAAUUCAGUGAAUCAUCGAAUCUUUGAACGCACAUUGCGCCCGCCAGUAUUCUGGCGGGCAUGCCUGUUCGAGCGUCAUUACAACCCUCAGGCCCCCGGGCCUGGCGUUGGGGAUCGGCGGAAGCCCCCUGCGGGCACAACGCCGUCCCCCAAAUACAGUGGCGGUCCCGCCGCAGCUUCCAUUGCGUAGUAGCUAACACCUCGCAACUGGAGAGCGGCGCGGCCACGCCGUAAAACACCCAACUUCUGAAUGUUGACCUCGAAUGGGGUAGGAAUACCCGCUGAACUUAAGC
rnacentral:misc_RNA from 1 species